AAACGAUUUUUACUUUAACGCGGCGUCACCUUAACAUGGUUCAAUUGUGACAAACCAAGAGACGGUUUGUCACCUAAUAGCAUGACGAUAAUGAGAAGUCCAUUGCUACGGCCUACUCACGCGUACUAUAUUUUAU